UGGUAAAAGGCAUGCUACAUUUGUUGAACUUUGCUAGGUGCAUUACCUUCCUCAUGUGGAGGUCCCCAAGCCCAUUUUUAUUAAUUUGCUUUCUUCUACGUGGAUGAGUUGUAUGGAGACUUGGCUACCAUUUUUCGUAGACUGGAAUGUGAGUUUACUGUAUUUAUUGCUCUCUGCUCGGCCCAGAAAACACAUCUCGUUUCUAGUUCCUGGCCCAGUGGCUACGUAAGAGUGAGAUGUCCAGGAUGAAGGGUUGGGCCGAUGGCGGCUAAUAUUCGAAUCGAGAAUUUUGUGUUGAGGAACCACAGAAUGAAAUUGAAGAACAGAAACUCUGAUUUCCGUGAAAUUCCUGGAUAAUUUCUCCUGAUAUCGACGUCCCUGUUGGAUCGUACCAAACUCUGUAUGAUUAACAGGUAGAUUAGCCAUCAUGACCAAUGCUACAUGUGAUACUUGUAGAGGUAGCUGUUAAUGGCUCAGGUGGCUGUCUUUUGUACGUUUAUUUAA
rnacentral:misc_RNA from 1 species